GCCUCUGCCUCCCAAAGUGCUGGGAUUACAGAGGCACGAGCCACCACGUCCGGCCAGGGCACAGGGUUUCAGAAAUGGAUCCUUACAAACGAAGGCAGCAGAGUAUUCUGGAAAAAUUGUGAGGACUUCAACCAGACCAUUGCCUCCUGCCCUGGUGUGAAUCUGAGGUCCUCCGCUCCCAAUUCCUAGCUGCUAGGAUGUAAGUUAACCUCACUGAACCGGCCUUUCUUCCUCUGUUAAAUGGCCAGAACUCAGACUCUGUCCUAUGAAUAUCUCAGCACCACCAAGGAACCAGGAAGUGCGUGGACAAUCUUGCUCCUAAGGCUGUGAGCCCUGGACCCCAGGGUGUGGCUCAGAAGUCCCCCUGCUUCAGCGACGACAUUAUUCCUGUACACCUCCCAGCAAGGGAGCCAACCACUCUUUGACCUUUAGCCCUCCAGUUAGAUGGGAAAGUGAGAAAACUCAGUGCAUAGCACUGUAGCCUGAGCUCUUUCACCAGCAUCAUGACCCUGAGCAAGCUACCUAACCUCUCUUAGCCUCAGUUUCCCAAUCUAUAAAAUGGGGCUCCCCAGGCUGAGCCGUUAGGACUUCUGGAAGGAUGAACUGAAGUGGUGCUUGUGGAGUUUAGUACCUCGCCCGGUAGGAAGGAAGUGCUACAGGAAUGGCAUUUGUUGCAUAAUUUUAGAGCCAGAUUGAACCUCAGAAGUAAGUAACCCUGUCUUCAGGCUUUGAUUUUACAAAGGAAGAUAUUCAGGCCCCACCAUGAAUGCCUUUCCUGUUAGAGUUAAAGCAGGCUGUCUGACUUCUAGUUGUUAUGAACUUUAGCUUCUCACACUCCUUGGCCAAAAACGAUUGGGAAAGCUCUGAUGGGAAGGCCUCUGGUGACCCAGAUAAACUCACAGGUGAUGUAGAACCUUUCCUGGAACUCCCCUCAGGCAGGAGGCACAGCUUCUGAAAGCCACUCUUCAGGGUGACAUCGAGGGGCUUCUAAGGCAAAUCUGUCCAGAGACCUACAGGGGUAAACAUCUGAAAAACAAGUGUUAGGGCAGUCCUGUGAGACCAAAAGCAGACUCCAGGAAACAACGAGAGAACUGCAAGAUUUUACUUUAUGUGGAUCCUAUGAAGCGGGUGCUUAGGAGUCCAUCCCAACAAAGAACUAAGAUGGGAAGAGGUCAAGUUUAGCCUUCCCCUACAGUAGUAGAGAGGGUCCAGUCCAGGAACCCAUGUUGCAUUGGGCUGUCACAUUGCUUCAUUCUCCUUGAGUCUGGCACAGCUUCUCAGGUGUUGUCUUUCUUGACCUAUGACCUUUUGAAGAAUACUGGCUAGAUAUUUUGUAGAAUGUCUUUCAAUUUGGAAUUUUCUGAUAUUUUAUCAUGUCAACUUUAGGUUGUACAUGCUGGGCACAAAUAUGGCAGAGGUAAUAUGCCUUUCUUUGUGUAUCGUUUCAGCUGGCUGGCAUAAUUUCUGAUGAGAAAUCAAUCCUUAUUUUUAUCUUUGUGCCUUGUAUGUAAUAUAUCCUUUUUUCUAGCUGCUUUUAAGAUUUUUCUCUUUAUCCUUAGUUUUAAGGAAUUUGAUUAUUAAAAUUGAUUUUUAAUUAUUGAUUAUUAAAAGAGCACCUUGGCUGGUGUUCUUUCUCCUGCUUUGGGCUUGUUGAAUUUCUUGGAACUGUAAAUUUAUAGUUUUCAUCAUGUUUAGAAAAUAAUUUAACCAUUAUUUCUUAAAAUAUUUUCCUGUCCCCAAACUGUCCCCUUCCUGGGAUUCCAAUUUCAGGUGGUAAUGUAAUGGUGAAGGCUUAGGUCAUAUGUAGUUUUAUGUGCACUACUGCUGAUUUUAUAGCUUGUUGGGGUGAUGUGUAAGAAAUAUUCAUGCAGCUACCAUUAUCCUAGGGUCAAUCAGAAUUUUAUGACUUAUAGAAGAAAUUAGCUAUUUAAGGAUGUGAAUGGCAAGAUUUUUGGUACUUUGUCAUUUGCCUUUUAUAUUUGAUUGUACUUUUAAAAAUGUUUAUGUAGUUGAAUGUAUCUAUCUUUAGUCAUUUCUGGAUUUAUAGCAUUAAGUCUUUCUCACUAUGAGAUUAUUUUUAAAACAUUCAUUAUAUCCUUCUUAUUUUAGGAUUUCAAUUUAUGUCUAAAUCUUUGAUCUAUCAGGAAUUGAUCCUGGUGUAAGGAUGACAGUGAUUCUAAUUUACACUGUUUUUCAGCUGGCUACCUGAUUGUCCCCAACCAAGCAUUUUAAAUAAAUGUUUUAACACAAUUU